rnacentral:tRNA from 1 species
GUCCCCUUCGUCUAAAGGUUAGGACACCACUCUUUCAAGGUGGAGAUACGGGUUCAAUUCCCGUAGGGGACGCCA